UGGGGAAUAUUGCACAAUGGGCGCAAGCCUGAUGCAGCCAUGCCGCGUGUAUGAAGAAGGCCUUCGGGUUGUAAAGUACUUUCAGUCGGGAGGAAGGUGGUAAGGUUAAUAACCUUAUCAAUUGACGUUACCGACAGAAGAAGCACCGGCUAACUCCGUGCCAGCAGCCGCGGUAAUACGGAGGGUGCAAGCGUUAAUCGGAAUUACUGGGCGUAAAGCGCACGCAGGCGGUUGAUUGAGUCAGAUGUGAAAUCCCCGGGCUUAACCCGGGAGUUGCAUCUGAUACUGGUCAGCUAGAGUCUUGUAGAGGGGGGUAGAAUUCCAUGUGUAGCGGUGAAAUGCGUAGAGAUGUGGAGGAAUACCGGUGGCGAAGGCGGCCCCCUGGACAAAGACUGACGCUCAGGUGCGAAAGCGUGGGGAGCAAACAGG
rnacentral:rRNA from 1 species